AGGAUGAACGCUGGCGGCGUGCCUAAUACAUGCAAGUCGAACGAAGAUGUUCUUGUGUUCGCAUGAGAGCUCUUAGUGGCGGACGGGUGAGUAACGCGUUGGUGACCUGCCCUAAAGAAGGGAACAACCUCGGGAAACUGAGGCUAAUACCCUAUGUGCUUCAAGAGAUUAGAUCCUUUUGAAGUAAAGGUUCUGUGGACGAAGGGCCACAGUGCCGCUUUAGGAGGGGCCUGCGUCCCAUCAGCUAGUUGGUAGGGUAAUGGCCUACCAAGGCGAUGACGGGUAGGGGACCUGAGAGGGUGACCCCCCACACUAGCACUGAAACACGGGCUAGACACCUACGGGUGGCAGCAGUAGGGAAUCUUGCACAAUAGACGAAAGUCUGAUGCAGCAACGCCGCGUGUGCGAUGAAGGCCUUCGGGUUGUAAAGCACUUUUCUGAGGGAUGAGAAAGGACAGUACCUCAGGAAUAAGUCUCGGCUAACUACGUGCCAGCAGCCGCGGUAAUACGUAGGAGGCGAGCGUUAUCCGGAUUUAUUGGGCGUAAAGCGCGUGCAGGUGGUUUGGUAAGUUGGGUAUGAAAUCUCCUGGCUUAACUAGGAGAGGUUGCUCAAAACUACCAGACUAGAGGACGGUAGAGGAAGGUGGAAUUCCCGGUGUAGUAGUGAAAUGCGUAGAUAUCGGGAGGAACACCAGUGGCGAAGGCGGCCUUCUGGGCCGUUCCUGACACUAAGACGCGAAAGCAUGGGUAGCAAACGGGAUUAGAAACCCCGGUAGUCCAUGCCGUAAACGAUGUGGACUUGAUGUCGGCGAUGUAAAAGUUGUCGGUGUCGUAGUUAACGCGAUAAGUCCACCGCCUGGGGAGUACGAUCGCAAGGUUAAAACUCAAGGAAUUGACGGGGGCCCGCACAAGCAGCC
rnacentral:rRNA from 1 species